CCUACGGGUGGCAGCAGUGGGGAAUAUUGCGCAAUGGGCGAAAGCCUGACGCAGCAACGCCGCGUGCGGGAUGAAGGCCUUCGGGUUGUAAACCGCUUUCAGUGGGGACGCGGUACCCACAGAAGAAGCCCCGGCCAACUACGUGCCAGCAGCCGCGGUAACACGUAGGGGGCGAGCGUUGUCCGGAUUUAUUGGGCGUAAAGAGCUCGUAGGCGGCUCGGUAAGUCAGGUGUGAAAACUCUAGGCUCAACCUAGAGACGCCACCUGAUACUGCUGGGCUAGAGUCCGGUAGGGGAGCAUGGAAUUCCUGGUGUAGCGGUGAAAUGCGCAGAUAUCAGGAGGAACACCAGUGGCGAAGGCGGUGCUCUGGGCCGGACUGACGCUGAGGAGCGAAAGCGUGGGGAGCAAACAGGAUUAGAUACCCUUGUAGUC
rnacentral:rRNA from 1 species